rnacentral:rRNA from 1 species
GACGAACGCUGGCGGCGUGCUUAACACAUGCAAGUCGAACGGAAAGGCCCUGCUUUUGUGGGGUGCUCGAGUGGCGAACGGGUGAGUAACACGUGAGUAACCUGCCCUUGACUUUGGGAUAACUUCAGGAAACUGGGGCUAAUACCGGAUAGGAGCUCCUGCUGCAUGGUGGGGGUUGGAAAGUUUCGGCGGUUGGGGAUGGACUCUCGGCUUAUCAGCUUGUUGGUGGGGUAGUGGCUUACCAAGGCUUUGACGGGUAGCCGGCCUGAGAGGGUGACCGGCGACAUUGGGACUGAGAGACGGCCCAGACGCCUACGGGAGGCAGCAGUGGGGAAUAUUGCACAAUGGGCGGAAGCCUGAUGCAGCAACGCCGCGUGCGGGAUGACGGCCUUCGGGUUGUAAACCGCUUUCGCCUGUGACGAAGCGUGAGUGACGGUAAUGGGUAAAGAAGCACCGGCUAACUACGUG